rnacentral:rRNA from 1 species
AGAGAGUUGAUCAUGGCUCAGGACGAACGCUGGCGGCGUGCCUAACACAUGCAAGUCGAGCGAGGAGAUCCUCGGGAUGAUCCUAGCGGCGGACGGGUGAGUAACACGUGGGCAACCUGCCUCAUAGAGAGGAAUAGCCUUCCGAAAGGGAGAUUAAUACCUCAUAACAUUGCAGUUUCGCAUGGAACAGCAAUUAAAGGAGUAAUCCGCUAUGAGAUGGGCCCGCGGCGCAUUAGCUAGUUGGUGAGGUAGCGGCUCACCAAGGCGACGAUGCGUAGCCGACCUGAGAGGGUGAUCGGCCACAUUGGGACUGAGACACGGCCCAGACUCCUACGGGAGGCAGCAGUGGGGAAUAUUGCACAAUGGGGGAAACCCUGAUGCAAGCAACGCCGCGUGAGUGAUGACGGCCUUCGGGUUGUAAAGCUCUGUCUUCAGGGACGAUAAUGACGGUACCUGAGGAGGAAGCCACGGCUAACUACGUGCCAGCAGCCGC